AAAUUACAGCUCGAGUAUUCUAUCAAAUCUCCCAAUUACCUCACUUUCCUAGUUAAAGCAUAAUCAUAUUUCAUAUAAAAGGAAAUAAAGACUACUCUAUAUUUACAACAUAAUUAUGCACAUAACACAUGUGAUAUGCUGACAAGACACCACUCUAUACUACAAUUCAUUCAACGCCACAUGGGGAUGAGUACAUUAACUAUAGACCCUUGCUUAAAUGCUACUGUGAAAUGCUUUCUAAUUGCACAUGCAAUAUACUACGUAGCAUUUCUAAUACUCAGCAAUCAGAUGCUAUUUUAAACUCCUCAUAGGACUCAAUGAAUCCUAAUCCUCAAUGAGAAGCUAAUUGCUACUAACUUCUCCACUUCCAUCACUAGCUUGAGUAUAUGCACUUCUUCAAGAAGAAACCCAAUGAGACAUGCGUACUUACUCAUUCCUAGAUUUAGUUGCAAUGAUAGCAAGAUAGCCCCCCCAGAGCAUUCAAUAGACCUCCAUCUUGGAAGGAUAGGAAAAAGCCCAAAUGCACUUACCGUGGUUAUCUCAAUCAUACUACAAAUAAAUGUUUCCAACUCAAUAGCUAUCCACCUGGUUGAAAAGGGCCUAGAGGAUCACGAAUGCUAGCUAAUACUCCUGCUGCCCAUGCUGUUACAUUAGACAAUUCUACAGAUGAUGGGGGACCAAAUACUUCAUUCAAUCAAGAUCUUUACCAACAAUUCUUUGUAUUUUUCCAAAACUUAGCAAAUCCUAUCCUCCAAGUCACAUAAUUUAACAACGGCCACCAUCACUGUAGGUAUCCUUUUCUAUAGUGCAACCUUUCUUAAACCAAAAACAACUUUUUGAAUAUGGUCUGUUGUACCUGUAUCAAUUAUCCAAGAAGUUUUUGGUUUGAAAAAGAUUGUUCACUAGCCUUUUUCACUUCCAUUGAUUCAAUCACAAUUACUAAUGUUAAUUUGCCAAAUGGUAGCUCUGUACUAGUUAGCCAUCUUGGCAAAAUUCAUAUGUCGAGCAAUUUAACACCUGAUAAUGCCCUAUGUGUACCUUCAUUUUCAUUCAAUCUUAUAUCAGUUUCCUAGCUAACAAAAUCUUUCAAUCUUUGAGUGUUAUUUUUUUGCCUGUAACUCUUUGUAUAAGAUCUGUCCACCUUCAAGAUGAUUGGUUUUCUAAGGAAAACGAAACCUAUAUCAUUGCUGAUUGUGGAAAAUGAGGGCCUAUAUCAUCUCCUAAUUGUUCAUGAUCAAUCUCUUACAUAUCAGCCUAUCACCAACAUUCUAAUAGUCAAUGCUUCUCAACAUUCCAGACAUAAUUUAUGGCACCUUAGACUUGGCCACAUAUCCAAUGCAAAAAUGUCAAAAUUCCACACAUUGCUUCUCAAAUACUUUGUAACAAUUUACAUAUAUGUGAAAUCAGUCCUUUAGCAAAACAAAAGAACUUACCUUUCCUUAUCAGUGAUUAAAUCUCGAAUAAAAUUUUUGAUUUAGUUCAUUG
rnacentral:lncRNA from 1 species